GUAGUCGUGGCCGAGUGGUUAACGUGAUGGAUUAAAAAUCCAUUGGGGUUAUCCCGCACAGGUUCAAAUCCUGCCAACUACG